UUAUUUGAUAGUACCUUACUACUUGGAUAACCGUGGUAAUUCUAGAGCUAAUACAUGCUAAAAACCCCGACUUCGGAAGGGGUGUAUUUAUUAGAUAAAAAACCAAUGCCCUUCGGGGCUCCUUGGUGAUUCAUAAUAACUUAACGAAUCGCAUAGCCUUGUGCUGGCGAUGGUUCAUUCAAAUUUCUGCCCUAUCAACUUUCGAUGGUAGGUUAGUGGCCUACCAUGGUUUCAACGGGUAACGGGGAAUUAGGGUUCGACUCCGGAGAGGGAGCCUGAGAAACGGCUACCACAUCCAAGGAAGGCAGCAGGCGCGCAAAUUACCCAAUCCGACACGGGGAGGUAGUGACAAUAAAUACUGAUACAGGGCUCUUUUGGGUCUUGUAAUUGGAAUGAGUGACAAUUUAAAUCCCUUAACGAGGAACAAUUNNNNNNNNNNNNNNNNNNNNNNNNNNNNNGGUAAUUCCAGCUCCAAUAGCGUAUAUUAAAGUUGUUGCAGUUAAAAAGCUCGUAGUUGAACCUUGGGCCUGGCUGGCNGUCCGCCUCACCUGCGUGCACUGGUCCGGCCGGGCCUUUCCUUCUGGGGAACCCUAUGCCCUUCAUUGGGUGUAGUGGGGAACCAGGACUUUUACUUUGAAAAAAUUAGAGUGUUCAAGCAGGCAUAUGCUCGAAUACAUUAGCAUGGAAUAAUAGAAUAGGACGUGUGGUUCUAUUUUGUUGGUUUCUAGGACCGCCGUAAUGAUUAAUAGGGAUAGUCGGGGGCAUCAGUAUUCAAUUGUCAGAGGUGAAAUUCUUGGAUUUAUUGAAGACUAACUACUGCGAAAGCAUUUGCCAAGGAUGUUUUCAUUAAUCAGUGAACGAAAGUUAGGGGAUCNGAAGACGAUCAGAUACCGUCGUAGUCUUAACCAUAAACUAUGCCGACUAGGGAUCGGGCGGUGUUAUCUGUAGU
rnacentral:rRNA from 1 species